CCUACGGGAGGCAGCAGUGGGGAAUAUUGCACAAUGGAGGAAACUCUGAUGCAGCGACGCCGCGUGGAGGAAGAAGGUCUUCGGAUUGUAAACUCCUGUUGUUGAGGACGAUAAUGACGGUACUCAACAAGGAAGUGACGGCUAACUACGUGCCAGCAGCCGCGGUAAAACGUAG
rnacentral:rRNA from 1 species